UACGGAGGGUGCAAGCGUUAAUCGGAAUUACUGGGCGUAAAGCGCACGUAGGUGGUUUUUUAAGUCAGGGGUGAAAUCCUGGAGCUCAACUCCAGAACUGCCUUUGAUACUGGGAAGCUCGAGUCCGGAAGAGGUGAGUGGAACUGCGAGUGUAGAGGUGAAAUUCGUAGAUAUUCGCAAGAACACCAGUGGCGAAGGCGGCUCACUGGUCCGGUACUGACGCUGAGGUGCGAAAGCGUGGGGAGCAAACAGG
rnacentral:rRNA from 1 species